UAGCUCAGUUGGUAGAGUGCUUGCCUUAUAUGCACAGGGCCCUGGGUUCAAUUCCCAG
rnacentral:tRNA from 1 species